CCUACGGGAGGCAGCAGUGGGGAAUUUUGGACAAUGGGCGAAAGCCUGAUCCAGCAAUGCCGCGUGAGUGAAGAAGGCCUUCGGGUUGUAAAGCUCUUUUGUCAGGGACGAAACGGUGAGAGCUAAUAUCUUUUGCUAAUGACGGUACCUGAAGAAUAAGCACCGGCUAACUACGUGCCAGCAGCCGCGGUAAUACGUAGGGUGCAAGCGUUAAUCGGAAUUACUGGGCGUAAAGCGUGCGCAGGCGGUUUUGUAAGUCUGAUGUGAAAUCCCCGGGCUCAACCUGGGAAUUGCAUUGGAGACUGCAAGGCUAGAAUCUGGCAGAGGGGGGUAGAAUUCCACGUGUAGCAGUGAAAUGCGUAGAUAUGUGGAGGAACACCGAUGGCGAAGGCAGCCCCCUGGGUCAAGAUUGACGCUCAUGCACGAAAGCGUGGGGAGCAAACAGGAUUAGAUACCCUGGUAGUCCACGCCCUAAACGAUGUCUACUAGUUGUCGGGUCUUAAUUGACUUGGUAACCGCAGCGUACGCGNGAGUAGACCGCCGNGGGUAAGGUACGGUCGCGAGUAAGUUAAACGUUAAAGUAGAGUUAGAGNGNGAGAGNGCGAGGACGACGACGAGGGAGGAGG
rnacentral:rRNA from 1 species